rfam:Mucilaginibacter sp. PPCGB 2223 NODE_1_length_2486039_cov_141.127_ID_564, whole genome shotgun sequence.
UAAGGGGAAGCCGAAAACCUUCGAACAGAGUAGGCA